rnacentral:miRNA from 2 species
CCGGUUUUCAUUUUCGAUCUGAC